rnacentral:rRNA from 1 species
UUAAAUUGAAGAGUUUGAUCAUGGCUCAGAUUGAACGCUGGCGGCAGGCCUAACACAUGCAAGUCGAGCGGAAACGACACUAACAAUCCUUCGGG